rnacentral:sRNA from 12 species
CUCCUACUUAUGGAGCGGCGCUGGUGCGUGAGGAUUAAACUCACGGUUCGAGCUUGUGAAUAUCCCCAGAG